GGGUUGUGAGGUUAAGCGACUAAGCGUACACGGUGGAUGCCCUGGCAGUCAGAGGCGAUGAAGGGCGUGCUAAUCUGCGAUAAGCGCCGGUAAGGUGAUAUGAACCGUUAUAACCGGCGAUACCCGAAUGGGGAAACCCAGUGUGACUCGUCACACUAUCAUUAACUGAAUCCAUAGGUUAAUGAGGCGAACCGGGGGAACUGAAACAUCUAAGUACCCCGAGGAAAAGAAAUCAACCGAGAUUCCCCCAGUAGCGGCGAGCGAACGGGGAGGAGCCCAGAGCCUGAAUCAGCAUGUGUGUUAGUGGAAGCGUCUGGAAAGGCGCGCGAUACAGGGUGACAGCCCCGUACACAAAAGCGCAUGUGCUGUGAGCUCGAUGAGUAGGGCGGGACACGUGGUAUCCUGUCUGAAUAUGGGGGGACCAUCCUCCAAGGCUAAAUACUCCUGACUGACCGAUAGUGAACCAGUACCGUGAGGGAAAGGCGAAAAGAACCCCGGCGAGGGGAGUGAAAAAGAACCUGAAACCGUGUACGUACAAGCAGUGGGAGCCCCACCACCAAAGCAUUUGCUGUACCGCGUUGACGGAGCGAAGCGACGUCAAACCGAUAAAACAGCAGUGUAAAGUGAGCCGCAGGGCGCUUUGCGCGACAGCGCAAAGGCAGGCGGUUUCGCGUAGCGAAAGCGAAUGCUUUGGGGUGGGGUGACUGCGUACCUUUUGUAUAAUGGGUCAG
rnacentral:rRNA from 1 species